UACGGAGGGUGCAAGCAUUAAUCGGAUUUAUUGGGCGUAAAGGGCGCGUAGGCGGACAUAUAAGUCAGGUGUGAAAUCCCGGGGCUCAACCCCGGAACGGCAUUUGAAACUAUAUUCCUUGAGGGUAGGCGGAGAAAACGGAAUUCCACAUGUAGCGGUGAAAUGCGUAGAUAUGUGGCAGAACAUCGGUGGCGAAGGCGGUUUUCUAGCUUAUUCCUGACGCUGAGGCGCGAAAGUAAGGGGAUCAAACAGG
rnacentral:rRNA from 1 species